rnacentral:lncRNA from 1 species
GAGGCUUGUGGUGGUGGUGGUGGACGGGGAGGAUUGGUCUCCGGCGAAGUAAGAUGUGAAGAAAUACAGAGAGAGGAACAACCAGAUGACCCAUCUGUAAUAGUUUCUGAAGAAGAUGAAGAAGAGGUUUGUUUUGUUGUGUCCACCUCUGUUGUUGUUGUUGUUGUUUAGUUGCAUUUUGACGAUGAAACCAGUCUUCUUCUUGGUCUUGUUGAUGCUAGGUCUCUUAAUGUCGAGCGACAUUGCUUGAUUGUUAAGAGGAGCAAGCAAAGAUGAAACCAAGCUUUCUCUUUGUUGGUGAUGAUAAUGAUUGAGAAGUAGAAAUCAAGGGUUGGAGAUUGGGAGAGAUGUAGAGAAAGGGUCGUUG